rnacentral:lncRNA from 10 species
CUCAGCUGCCUGCCACCCAAUUCCAUGAUGCUUGAGUUGCUUGAACUCAAAUCUUAUCGUAUAAAAGAGGCACGAAAUCUGCUGAUCUCAGUAGAAAGCCCCUGAAAGGAAAAUGGGACCUAAUGAAAAUCUGUGCUCUCUGCAAAAGGCGCAGCCUGCUGGAGGUGGGAGGAGCCUUGGACUGAGACCUUGGGAUGACAGUGAAUUAUUUAGCUUCUCUGAGCCUCAGGCAUUACUCUUAAGUUGCUAUGCCCAUGUCUUAGUUGAUGUCUG